GUGAAUCAUCAAAUCUUUGAACGCAUAUUGCACUCUCUGGUAUUCCGGAGAGUAUGCCUGUUUGAGGGUAAGUAAAAACAAUAUUUGACCAAUUGUUUUGGUCAAAGGAAAUGAGUUCUCCGCGUUUAUAGCAGUAGCUGGAAAUAAAUGGUCAAGUCUCAUUUUAGUCGAGACGCUGGAUAAUAGUAUGUCUCAAGAUCUUCAUUAUUUGACUAUCAAGUUUUGAUUCAUACAAAUUUGGUUUGUAUGCGAUCAAUACAAUA
rnacentral:misc_RNA from 1 species